rnacentral:rRNA from 1 species
AAUCAACGCUGGCGGCGUGCCUCAGACAUGCAAGUCGAACGAUUAAAGCUCUCUUCGGAGAGUGUAUAGAGUGGCGCACGGGUGAGUAACACGUAAGUAAUCUACCUUUGAGUGGGGAAUAACGUCCGGAAACGGACGCUAAUACCGCAUAAUGCAGCGGCACCGCAAGGUGACAGUUGUUAAAGAUUUAUCGCUUGAAGAGGAGCUUGCGUCAGAUAGCUAGUUGGUAAGGUAAUGGCUUACCAAGGCUACGAUCUGUAACCGGUCUAAGAGGACGGUCGGUCACACUGACACUGAAUAACGGGUCAGACUCCUACGGGAGGCAGC